GGAAACUGAAUGGAGGCCGAUGUGAUGUUAUCAAAAGGACUUGAAAUUUGUCAAUUCCACCAGGCUGGCUGAGCAGCCAGUGAGCCCCAGGCACAUGCCCAUCCCGACCUCCCCAGGCCUCGGAUUACAGACUGGGUCUCACUGAAUUGCGCAGAAGACCUGAAAGUCACUCUGUAGCUCAGGCAGGGCUUGAACUUGGGUCCUCCAGGCGGAAUCUCCCGAGAUGAACCACCCGCAUCACCAAAGGCACCUUGCAGACUCCGGAACACACAACGACCUCUCCAGGGAAGUGAAAGGCAAACAGGGAAGCUCUUCAGCCUUGGAAACUUAAUCAUUCUAGAACCUUCUAGCUACAUUGAAGCCUGACAUUUGCUAUUUGAGCACAGGAGGGAGGGAAAGAGACUCCCAAGUCCAGGGCCAGCCUGCCUGCAGAGGGCCUGCUUCACCGACUGCCACACAGGAGUCUCCCUGCCUCUGCUCCUUCAAUGGUUUUUCAAAGCACGGCUUUAAAAACAGCUCCUCAG